rnacentral:rRNA from 1 species
GACGAACGCUGGCGGCGUGCUUAACACAUGCAAGUCGAACGGAAAGGCCCUGCUUUUGUGGGGUGCUCGAGUGGCGAACGGGUGAGUAACACGUGAGUAACCUGCCCUUGACUUUGGGAUAACUUCAGGAAACUGGGGCUAAUACCGGAUAGGAGCUCCUGCUGCAUGGUGGGGGUUGGAUAGUUUCGGCGGUUGGGGAUGGACUCGCGGCGUAUCAGCUUGUUGGUGGGGUAGUGGCUUACCAAGGCUUUGACGGGUAGCCGGCCUGAGAGGGUGACCGGCCACAUUGGGACUGAGAUACGACCCAGACUACUACGGGAGGCAGCAGUGGGGAAUAUUGCACAAUGGGCGGAAGCCUGAUGCAGCAACGCCGCGUGCGGGAUGACGGCCUUCGGGUUGUAAACCGCUUUCGCCUGUGACGAAGCGUGAGUGACGGUAAUGGGUAAAGAAGCACCGGCUAACUACGUG